AUUGAACGCUGGCGGCAUGCUUUACACAUGCAAGUCGAACGGUAACAGGGAGCUUGCUCCGCUGACGAGUGGCGAACGGGUGAGUAAUGCGUCGGAACGUGCCGAGUAGUGGGGGAUAACGCAUCGAAAGGUGUGCUAAUACCGCAUACGUACUGAGGUAGAAAGUGGGGGACCUUCGGGCCUCACGCUAUUCGAGCGGCCGACGUCUGAUUAGCUAGUUGGUGAGGUAAAGGCUCACCAAGGCGACGAUCAGUAGCGGGUCUGAGAGGAGGAUCCGCCACGCUGGGACUGAGACACGGCCCAGACUCCUACGGGAGGCAGCAGUGGGGAAUUUUGGACAAUGGGCGCAAGCCUGAUCCAGCCAUGCCGCGUGUCUGAAGAAGGCCUUCGGGUUGUAAAGGACUUUUGUCCGGGAGCAAAUGCCUGGUGUUAAUAGCAUCGGGAGCUGAGAGUACCGGAAGAAUAAGCACCGGCUAACUACGUGCCAGCCGCCCGCCGUAAAAC
rnacentral:rRNA from 1 species